rnacentral:rRNA from 1 species
GGACCCGCACAAGCAGCGGAGCAUGUGGUUUAAUUCGAAGCAACGCGAAGAACCUUACCAGGGCUUGACAUGCCCCUGACCGUCCCAGAGAUGGGAUUUCACCUUCGGGUGCAGGGGACACAGGUGGUGCAUGGUUGUCGUCAGCUCGUGUCGUGAGAUGUUGGGUUAAGUCCCGCAACGAGCGCAACCCUUGCCUUUAGUUGCUACCAUUAAGUUGAGAACUCUAGAGGGACUGCCGAUGAUAAAUCGGAGGAAGGUGGGGAUGACGUCAAAUCAUCAUGCCCUUUAUGUCCUGGGCUACACACGUGCUACAAUGGUCGGUACAACGAGCAGCUACCUAGCGAUAGGAUGCAAAUCUCUAAAAGCCGAUCCCAGUUCGGAUUGCAGGCUGCAACUCGCCUGCAUGAAGUCGGAGUUGCUAGUAAUCGCGAAUCAGAAUGUCGCGGUGAAUGCGUUCCCGGGUCUU